GUGCAUCGUCCUUCAACAGCACAUAUACUAAAACUGGAAUGAUACUGGGAAGAUAAGCACAGACCCUGCGCAAGGAUGACACUUGAAUUCGUGCUGUAAUAACUACACCA